AGUAACUCUAGAGCUAAUACAUGCAUUCAUCCCCGACUUCUUGGAAGGGGUGUACUUAUUAGAUGGAAACCAAUGCGGGGCAACCCGGAAUCUGGUGAUUCAUAAUAAUUUUCGGAUCGAUCGUACGAUCGAUGCAUCAUUCAAGUUUCUGCCCUAUCAGCUUUGGAUGGUAGGGUAUUGGCCUACCAUGGCAUUAACGGGUAACGGAGAAUUAGGGUUCGAUUCCGGAGAGGGAGCCUGAGAAAUGGCUACCACAUCCAAGGAAGGCAGCAGGCGCCUAAAUUACCCAAUCCUGACACAGGGAGGUAGUGACAAUAAAUAACAAUGCCGGGCUCAUCUGAGUCUGGCAAUUGGAAUGAGAACAAUUUAAAUCCCUUAUCGAGGAUCAAUUGGAGGGCAAGUCUGGUGCCAGCAGCCGCGGUAAUUCCAGCUCCAAUAGCGUAUACUAAAGUUGUUGCAGUUAAAAAGCUCGUAGUUGAAUUUCUGGCUUCGGAGCGCGAUCUAGCAAAUUUGUUAGUCAUCGUGAGUCGGAGCCAUCCUCGGGGAGAACAUGCCUGUGAUUAAGUUCAUGGGUAUGGGAGCCUGGUCAUGUCUGGUUAAUUCCGUUAACGAACGAGACCCCCGCCUGCUAACUAGUCCUAUCAAUGCCUAGCCUUGAUAGUGGCUUCUUAGAGGGACUUUCGGUGACUAAUCGAAGGAAGUUGGGGGCAAUAACAGGUCUGUGAUGCCCUUAGAUGUCCUGGGCCGCACGCGCGCUA
rnacentral:rRNA from 1 species